AUACUUUCCAGUCUCACUGGAAACACCCCUCGUGUUGCCUCCUCAGAUCACAGUUGCCUUUUAUGGUUGUGUUGCACUGGUGGCUGUGAUGUACCUAGAUUUUUCUCUUCCUUUGUGUUCUAGUGUUUAUCCCCCGCACACAAGGCUCUUGGGAUUCACCUAGCAUAGCAGAGGGACCAUAAGAUUUCUUUUAAAGGAAUGCCUUGUUACUCCUCAGUGGUCCCUGAAAUUUGGCACUGAGCUGAACUCACUGCAAAGGUGCAACAUCAAACUGAUUGCAAAGAUUGUGACUUAGAGUCACAGCUGAACGAUCAGGAUGCUUUCCAGAAAAGCCAAAGGCACUACAGAGAGGCAAAACUAGAGUAUGAGAGAAGAGAAUCAAGAGUGCCUGAUCCAAAUCCUACUGCAUUAGUGGUAAAUUUCUCCUUGACCACAGGGAAUUUUGGAUGAGAUCCCAUGCUCUGAUUUUGGCAGUCAGCUUGGCUACCACAUCACAGUCCACUUCAGCUUGAAACAAGCAAGACCUAAACCAGAGAAAAAAGUAGGUUAAAAAUAAAAACAGUAUUAGAUCUAUGAGGACCUUGCCA
rnacentral:lncRNA from 1 species